UAAUAUAGAGGAUAGAACAGGUAGCUAUCACCACACAGAAAUGUGUUAGGAGAUGUGGAAUGACCGACCACCUAUAUUA
rnacentral:ncRNA from 1 species